rnacentral:lncRNA from 1 species
GCUUCUCAUUGGGCCCCGUGAGUGCUGGCAGGGCUGUGAAGCAGGUGUGACUAAUGGGUCAGCUCCCCGCUGGGACUGUGACCCUGAAGCUAACAAACCUAAGGGCAAGGCCAGGCGCAGCAGCUUUCUGAGUCUCUUCUGAAGUGGCUUGAAGUCGAUACUGUGUGUGUAUGUAAGAUCUAGCCUGAAGGAAGGCGCUUUGUUCAGUUGCUAACUUAUUUUCUUGGUGGUAAGCUUUAGAUAUCACUUAGCUUUUAUGUUUGCUUGUUUUGUUACAGAUUAAGUAGCUGUCAUAAGAAAAAGGACUAUUUACUUACUAUCUGGAGUCUUGUUCUGUUUGAUACCCCUAGGCACAUGUUCAAUUCAGAGAUAAGAGCCCUGGAAGUUAUAGAUUGCAAACAGUUUUUUCCCUGAAAACAAAACUGACAUAUUUAUAUACAAUGAUAAAUACAUAGAUAGACUAAUGAUCAGUUUAUGGAUAUUUGGCAAUAUGCCUCUCAAUAAUCAUCACAUUAUUCAUAAUGUUUAUAAAUUCAUAAAUAUAAGCGCACAUUACAGCAACUUAUUAACAAUGUUCUAUAAGCCAGAAAAGCACCAUGAAUACAAAAUAAAUUAUUAUAGUUCCUGAACAGUACUUUUACCUGCUAAAUAUUUUGUGGCCUUCAACAGCUCAGCCAGACAGUCAAAAGGAGAGCAACUUAGCAGAAGAUUUUGGUCUAGCUGAGGAUUCAGAUCACUGAAGAACUUAAGUUUAGGCUGUUAAACAAAAUUAUGGGAGCCCGUUAUUUUGGACUGAACUCCUGUACUAGGCCCCAACAGACGAGACCAAACCAAAAUGGAGUCAUUCAUGCUAAAUGCCUCGUCAUCAAAUAGAAGCUUUAAGGAAGCAGAUAGAUCCAACAUAGACUAGUUUUUCUUGAGAACAGAAGAUUCCAGUCUACCUGUGUCAGUGCAAUAAGGAAGUCCUCUCUGCUUUAAUUUUUACACAAAAAGUAACCUCAUGUUAGCCAAUCCGACUUUAAAAUUUUUUUUUUCCUAUUUCCUUGUUCUCACCUUACAAAACCCACUGUUCUGCUGCUGUCCAGCAGGAACCCUCAUGCUGUUUUGUAGAAUGGAAGCUGCCCUGAUUCAUGAAUUGCAAAUAAAAGCCAAUUAGAUCUAUAACUAUAUUUGUUGGAAUUUUGUCUUUUGACAAGACCAACUGGACCUUCCCUUUCUUGGUUAAAAUCUGCAAGACUCUUCUUCCUUGGUCACACUGGACAAUUGGCUUGUUAGAGCUGCAGUCAGGGGAACCUGGGAGAGACUCACCUUGCGAAGAAGACAAAGGCCACGGUGCUAAUGGUGGUGGUGCAGGUAUCCUGAGAUGGCCAGAGCUCAGAGAAGUUCAUGUCAAGAGGUGACAAGCCACAGUGAAUUUACGGAAUUUUUGUUUCUAUGUUUAUGGAAAUUUAUGUGUGCACUCAUGCCGUGUUAUGGACUGAAUUGUGUCCUCCCAAAAUGCAUAUGUUGAAACCCUAACGUCUAAAGUGACAGUAUUUUGAGGACACACAAAGAAGGCAGCCACCUGCAAGCCAGGAAGAGAGCCCUCACCAGGGACCAAAAUGGCCAGUGCCUUGAUUUUGGACUUCAGCCUCCAGGAGAAAGCAAGGACCCCCACCAGAUGGAAAAUGCCAACUGCUGUCACGUAGACUUCAGACGUGCGUAACAUUUGGUGCCAAAGACCCAGGACAGGGGGACUCCUUUGGGAGACUGGUCCCCUGUCCUCACCCUCACUCCAUGAGGAGAUCCACCUACAACCUCGGGUCCUCAGACCAACCAGCCCAAGGAAUAUCUCACCAAUUUCAAAUUGGGGUCAACCAACUUGUUGUCGGGACCCCGGAGCUGAAUGGCUUUCUUCUCUGUCAACCCUCUGCUCAGCCCAGAAGUACAGGAAAAGCAGAAGCUGGUUCCAAGAAAACCAACGCUCCCAACUCCGAAGAGUAAGGGGUUGUUAGAGAGCCCUUUCCCAGAAAGCCUGACACUCGUGUCUUUAGUCCAGCAGCCAUGCUGGUCACUUUUAACUGGCCAACAGAUGCCCGGUAUUUACCCACCAAAUUCUAAGGAAAAAUAGGACAGAAUAGCAAGUGAAAGGGGUCCGAUGGUGCUCACUGCUUGGUGAUAGUCGAUUGGCCCCACAUUGGGUGCCAAAGUGUGUCCGGAAUUGGUUCCUUCUGGUGGGUUCUUGAAGGGCAGAUCACCUGAGGUUGGGAGUUCGAGACUAGCCUCACCAAGAUGUAGAGACCCCAUCUCUACUAAAAAUACAAAAUUAGCAGGGCAUGGUGGUGCAUGCCUGUAAUCCCAGCUACUUGGGAGAAUCACUUGAACCCAGGAGACGGAGGUUGCAGUGAGCCGAGAUCACACCAUUGCACUUCAGCCUGGGCAACAAGAGUGAAACUUUGUCAAAAAAAAAAAAAAAA